CGAAGGGUGCAAGCGUUAAUCGGAAUUACUGGGCGUAAAAGCGCGCGUAGGUGGUUCGUUAAGUUGGAUGUGAAAAGCCCCCGGGCUCAACCUGGGAACUGCAUCCAAAAACUGGCGAGCUAGAGUACGGUAGAGGGUGGUGGAAUUUCCUGUGUAGCGGUGAAAUGCGUAGAUAUAGGAAGGAACACCAGUGGCGAAGGCGACCACCCUUGGACUGAUACUGACACUGAGGUGCAAAAGCGUGGGGAGCAAACAGGAUU
rnacentral:rRNA from 1 species